rnacentral:rRNA from 1 species
UACGUAGGGGGCGAGCGUUGUCCGGAAUUAUUGGGCGUAAAGGGCGCGCAGGCGGUCUGUUAAGUCUGUGGUGAAAGACCGGGGCUCAACCCCGGAGUGUCCGCAGAGACUGGCAGACUGGAGUAUCGGAGAGGAGUGCGGAAUACCUGGUGUAGCGGGUGGAAUGCGGUAGAGAUCAGGUGGAACACCGAUGGCGAAGGCAGCACUCUGGCCGAGUUACUGACGCUGAGGCGCGGAAAGCUGGGGGAGCGAACGGGG